AGUGAACGCUGGCGGUAGGCCUAACACAUGCAAGUCGAACGGCAGCACAGUAAGAGCUUGCUCUUACGGGUGGCGAGUGGCGGACGGGUGAGGAAUACAUCGGAAUCUACUUUUUCGUGGGGGAUAACGUAGGGAAACUUACGCUAAUACCGCAUACGACCUACGGGUGAAAGCAGGGGAUCUUCGGACCUUGCGCGAUUGAAUGAGCCGAUGUCGGAUUAGCUAGUUGGCGGGGUAAAGGCCCACCAAGGCGACGAUCCGUAGCUGGUCUGAGAGGAUGAUCAGCCACACUGGAACUGAGACACGGUCCAGACUCCUACGGGAGGCAGCAGUGGGGAAUAUUGGACAAUGGGCGCAAGCCUGAUCCAGCCAUACCGCGUGGGUGAAGAAGGCCUUCGGGUUGUAAAGCCCUUUUGUUGGGAAAGGAAAGCAGCAGGUUAAUACCCCGCUGUUCCGACGGUACCCAAAGAAUAAGCACCGGCUAACUUCGUG
rnacentral:rRNA from 1 species